rfam:Parcubacteria (Kuenenbacteria) bacterium GW2011_GWA2_42_15 TV02_C0055, whole genome shotgun sequence.
UUUACUAAGAGUUUGAUCCUAGCUCAGGAUGAACGCUGGCGGCGUGUCUAAGGCAUGCAAGUCGUACGAUCGUGCCUCGCUUACGCUCAGCACUCUCUAAAAUUUAAAAUGCAAAAGUCAAAAUGUAAAAUUUUGGUAUCCCGCUACACGGGAUGAAUUAAUUUUUAAUUUUACAUUGUAAUUUUGAUUUUUGAUUUUUACAUUUUUAUUUUGAGUGCCGAACGGGAGUGAGGCACGACACGUGGCGAACGGGUGAGUAACACAUUGGUAACCUACCCCCAAGACGGGCAUAACUCCUCGAAAGAGGAGAUAAUUCCCGAUGGUUUCCGACACCACAAGGUCGUCGGAAUAAAACUCCGGUGCUUGGGGAGGGGCCUAUGUCUGAUUAGCUAGUUGGUGAGGUAACGGCCCACCAAGGCGACGAUCAGUAGCGGGGAUGGAAGUCUGACCCGCCUCACUGGGACUGAGACACUGCCCAGACUCCUACGGGAGGCUGCAGUCGAGAAUCUUCCUCAAUGGCCGAAAGGCUGAAGGAGCGACGCCGCGUGCAGGAAGAAGCCCCUCGGGGUGUAAACUGCUUUUACAAGGGAAGAAUGCCAUACCUCAUUGCAUUCGGUCUGUAGUUUUUGAAUUUUGUAAUUUUAUAAUUUUUAAAUAAAUCAAAAUUUUUAAAUUUUAAAACAUUAAUUGUUUUAGAAAUUAGAAAUUAAACAUUAGAAAUUAUUUAAAAAUUGGAAAUUAAAAAUUAAAAAUUUCACCCGAGCGUAGCGAGGUGUGGCAUGACGGUACCUUGAGAAUAAGGACCUCCUAAUUUCGUGCCAGCAGGAGCGGUAAUACGAAAGGUCCAAGCGUUAUCCGGAUUUAUUGGGCGUAAAGCGUCCGCAGACGGUUAGAUAAGUUUCUGGUUAAAUUCCAUGGCUCAACUGUGGAACCGCCGGAAAAACUCUCUAGCUAGAGGGUGGGAAAGGCCACUGGAAUGGCUGGUGUAGGAGUUAAAUCCGUUAAUAUCAGCUAGAACACCAAAGGCGAAAGCAGGUGGCUGGAACAUUCCUGACGUUCAGGGACGAAAGCGUGGGUAGCGAAUGGGAUUAGAUACCCCAGUAGUCCACGCCGUAAACGAUGGAUACUUGACAUUGGCAGUCUCGACCCUGUCAGUGUCGCUCUAAACAAGCUAACGCCUUAAGUAUCCCGCCUGGGGAGUACGAGCGCAAGCUUAAAACUCAAAGGAAUAGACGGGGACCCGCACAAGCGGUGGAGCAUGUGGUUCAAUUCGAAGAUAAGCGAGGAACCUCACCAGGGCUUGACAUCUAGCCUAUGUUAAACUUUAACCGGUUUUUCUUAGUGGCUAAGACAGGUGCUGCAUGGUUGUCGUCAGCAUGUGCCGUGAGGUGCACCGUUAAUUCGGGUAACAUGCGCAACCCUCAUCCUGAUUUAAAUUUUAUCAGGAAACUGCCCGUGAUAAACGGGAGGAAGGUGGGGAUGACGUCAAAUCAGCAUGGUCCUUAUGCUCUGGGCUACACACGUGCUACAAUGGCCAUUACAAUGGGGCGCCAAGCCGCAAGGCGGAGCUAAUCUCAUCAAAAAUGGUCUCAGUUCGGAUUGAGGUCUGCAACUCGACCUCAUGAAGUCGGAAUCGCUAGUAACCGCGAAUCAGCCUCGUCGCGGUGAAUACGUUCUCGGGUCUUGUACUCACCGCCCGUCACGUCAAGGGAGCCGGUAAUGCCCAAAUCUCGAUGUUUGUCGGGAAAAGGUAAGACUGGUGACAGGGACGAAGUCGUAACAAGGCAUCCGUAGCGGAAGCUGUGGAUGGAUCACCUCCUUU